rnacentral:lncRNA from 1 species
GUUGCUCCUAGAUUGAUUUUGAUGAUUACAAAGCAGAUUGAAGGGAUACAAUAUUUUAAAAUGAAAAAGUCCUUAUGCUCUUCAAGGACAAAAUCGUAAUUUCACUAAAAUCCUGAUUUGAUAGUACCAUUUGAUAGAACAAAUGAUUUGAAAUCUAUUGGUGAAAAUUUCAUUGUGUUUGGACUUAUAUUUUUGAAGUUAUGAAGGUUUGAAGUGCAUGAGUCG